rnacentral:lncRNA from 1 species
CGUGAUCCCGCCUAUCAACAUGAUUGGUUUCUCCCCUUCCUCGCGGAUACAACCAGGCUGCAUAUGCCCGUUGCCCGACUCCAAAAUGGCAGCCGCUCACUGCGCGCGCCCGAGCUGCUGGACCUCCUCGUUUCUCUUGCCUGCCCACCCCUCCCUCCGUUUCUUCUCUGGCCCUCACCUUUACGCCUCCCGAUUGGCUGGGAACAGUCCCGCCCUUCAAAAGCGGCCUUUGCCAUUGGCCGAAGCGCGCUGCCCCUCACAACGGCCCUCCCCCUCCUUCCCAUCCUCGCCCCCCGCCCCUCCCCCCCGCCCUCAGCCCCGGGAGGUAUUUUCCAUUCCGGUGGGGGUUGGGGGGGAGGGGAAAAGGCUGAGGAGGGAGUGGGGGGCCUUAGGAGAGGGGGAGGUGACCAGGGAAGAGGGGGGCAUCCGGUGGAGUCGGGGCCCCCAGGCUCCGUCAGGAGGAAGCGGGAAGGCGCCCUGGCGGUCACUGAAGUCGGGACGGGGCCGGCAGCCGGACUCGUCCGCACCCUGGCCGCGCCGCCCGGACCCGUCCUGCUGGGGCGCAGGUGCCCCUAGAGGAGGCCGCCCCGCGCCCCCGGGGCCCCCGCCGGUUCUGAAAAAUUUUUAGUAUGACUGUUCAGAAAACAUUAAUGAAAAUUUCAAGACGUACUUCUCCCCAGUGAGUACACUUUGGUUCUCUUAAACUCAUUCAGAAACUUGGGUUUAUAAUAGGCAUGAUUUCUAGAG